rnacentral:rRNA from 1 species
AGUGAACGCUGGCGGUAGGCCUAACACAUGCAAGUCGAACGGCAGCACAGAGGAGCUUGCUCCUUGGGUGGCGAGUGGCGGACGGGUGAGGAAUACAUCGGAAUCUACUCUGUCGUGGGGGAUAACGUAGGGAAACUUACGCUAAUACCGCAUACGACCUACGGGUGAAAGCAGGGGACCUUCGGGCCUUGCGCGAUUGAAUGAGCCGAUGUCGGAUUAGCUAGUUGGCGGGGUAAAGGCCCACCAAGGCGACGAUCCGUAGCUGGUCUGAGAGGAUGAUCAGCCACACUGGAACUGAGACACGUUCCAGACGCCUACGGGAGGCAGCAGUGGGGAAUAUUGGACAAUGGGCGCCAGCCUGAUCCAGCCAUACCGCGUGGGUGAAGAAGGCCUUCGGGUUGUAAAGCCCUUUUGUUGGGAAAGAAAUCCAGCUGGCUAAUACCCGGUUGGGAUGACGGUACCCAAAGAAUAAGCACCGGCUAACUUCGUGCCAGCCGCCGCCGUAA